AAAUCUUAAAAAAAAAAAUGGCGUACCUGAUUGUGUUUUUGCAGAAACUUCUUAUAACUGGUGGUAGAAAUGCCAUAUGUUACAAGCCUUAAUGACAUUGGGGUCAUUAAGGUCCCUGAAAGUGGCUAUAUGA
ensembl:snoRNA